GACGAACGCUGGCGGCGUGCUUAACACAUGCAAGUCGAACGAUGAAGCCGGAGCUUGCUCUGGUGAAUUAGUGGCGAACGGGUGAGUAACACGUGAGUAACCUGCCCUUGACUCUGGGAUAACUGCGGGAAACUGUAGCUAAUACCGGAUACGACCCUCGGAGGCAUCUCCUGGGGGUGGAAAGAAUUUCGGUCAAGGAUGGACUCGCGGCCUAUCAGCUAGUUGGUGAGGUAAAGGCUCACCAAGGCGACGACGGGUAGCCGGCCUGAGAGGGUGACCGGCCACACUGGGACUGAGACACGGCCCAGACUCCUACGGGGGGCAGCAGUGGGGAGUAUUGCACAAUGGGCGCAAGCCUGAUGCAGCAACGCCGCGUGAGGGAUGACGGCCUUCGGGUUGUAAACCUCUUUUAGCAGGGAAGAAGCGAAAGUGACGGUACCUGCAGAAAAAGCACCGGCUAACUACGUGCCAGCCGCCGCGGUAA
rnacentral:rRNA from 1 species